UACGUAGGGGGCAAGCGUUGUCCGGAUUUACUGGGCGUAAAGAGCGUGUAGGCGGCCAAGCAGGUCCGUUGUGAAAACUGGAGGCUUAACCUCCAGACGUCGACGGAAACCGCGUGGCUAGAGUCCGGAAGAGGAGAGUGGAAUUCCUGGUGUAGCGGUGAAAUGCGCAGAUAUCAGGAAGAACACCGGUGGCGAAGGCGGAUCUCUGGGCCUUACCUGACGCUCAGGCGCGAAAGCUAGGGGAGCGAACAGG
rnacentral:rRNA from 1 species